rnacentral:lncRNA from 1 species
UUUGGUUAAUCUAAGUGUUGUGUUCCGUCCUAGACACCCUUCACGAAAACCGGUGGAUACCUUGCGAGAAUUGUUCGGUAAUGACUAUUAUAUGUGUAGUAAGAUUUUGUUGGAGAAACAUAGCAUGAAGAAAAGCAUAUAUUAUGAACAUAACAUUAUACCUGCCGUAACUUUUUUUUAAAUUCUACUGUGAAUAUGUUAUUCAACUAGCCAGAAUACAUAUCCAUACAGUUGGAUAAAACAAAUUGGUGAAGUAGUUGUAAGUAUAUACCACAAAAAAAAGAAGAUGAAUUAAAUCUUUGAAUAUUGCUUUGUUUUGGAUGUUUUUGUCUAAGAAUUUUUUUUCUUAAUUGGAUUAAUAAUUUUGUGUGCGUUCGGUAAUGACUAUUAUAUGUGUAGGUUUCAGGUAUAUUUAUUUUUCUGGAGAUUUCAGGAAUAUUGCUUUCUUUUUUUGUCGUUGUUGUUCCACUAGCAUGAAUGGAUCGGUAAAUUAGUUGGCUUUCUACUCUUUGGUCUUUGGAUGAACAUAUAGUAAACUCUGCCUAUUUGAGCUUUGAAUAGCUGGUCCGGGUUUGGUAAUGUAGAAUAGGGACUGUGACAUCAAACCUCAUACCUGCAAAUUCUUUGGCCUUUUUUUUUUGCCAAUUUGCUUUUGGCAGCUAGUAAGACAAGAGGGCUUGCUCUGAUAGUAAGCAACCCCCACAUCCAACCGAGAGAUUGUGAGUUCGAGUCUCUCCAAGAGCAAGGUGGGAAGUUCUUGGAGGGAAAGAUGCCGAG